CACGUAGGGGGCGAGCGUUGUCCGGAUUUAUUGGGCGUAAAGAGCUCGUAGGCGGCUCGGUAAGUCGGGUGUGAAACCUCCAGGCUCAACCUGGAGACGCCACUCGAUACUGCCGUGGCUAGAGUCCGGUAGAGGAGCGUAGAAUUCCUGGUGUAGCGGUGAAAUGCGCAGAUAUCAGGAGGAACACCUAUUGCGAAGGCAGCUCGCUGGGACGUAACUGACGCUGAGACGCGAAAGCGUGGGGAGCAAACAGG
rnacentral:rRNA from 1 species